AAGAAGAAGCUCUAAUAAGGUGCAAUUUAUGCUAGCAAUUACCAUUCACUCAAGCACAUGCUUCUAUGACAAACUAAUAACACACACAUAAAGCAUGAAUCUAUAUUAGGCCAACUCACAGUCAAAGCAACAGGGGCAUAAUUUUGAAUUGUUACAGAUUAUAAGUGUAUAAUUUCACGUCAGGCUGUAAGAAAUGCAUAUGGUAAACACAUUAAAAGAGUUCAACUUUUGCCGAGCCAACUCUUAUGCGGAGAGAGGAAGGGGGGAAGAAAGAAUGAAGUAUGUGAAUGUGCAUUCCAAUGUAUGAGAUUUCUACAAUUAACUAAUUGUAAUUUAAUACUAACAACUGGAAUUCUGAUUAAUCAUUGAUACAAACCAUUUAGCAAUAUCAGGUAUAAAACACAAAAAGAAGUCAGAGACUAAAUAAUUAUAACAUCUAUUAGAUGUGUUCCUUUACAUCAUAAAAGGACACACAUAAAAUGAGCAGCUAGAGGCACUUAAAAUCCUUUCAAAUACAAUUACAGACUGAGGGCAAUAAAACCAUGUACUCCCUCUAAUAUUUUUAACUAUGAUGUGUUAUCCACACAAGAAGUUGGUAACAUCAGUAUAAGGAGUGGGUCUCCUUUCUUUAUUAAGUAAGCAUCAAGGAAUUUUUCCUAUGAACUAAUCAAUACAAAAGAAAAGAAAUGCAAUUGCAUACAAGCAUUCAAUAACAACUUCCUUUAAAGUUUCAGCAAUCCUACAUGUUAUCCUACAUAAAUUUUGUAAUGCCUAUCUUUGUUCUCUUAGUGAUUGUUUGUAAUCUAAAUUAAUUCAAAGAAAAUUCAUGAAGAUUAU
rnacentral:misc_RNA from 1 species